rnacentral:ncRNA from 1 species
ACGAGUGUUGGUUGGUUUUGGGUAAGUAAGAGAACUCACAUACUCUUUCCUUGCGAGUGCUUUGAUGUCCUUUUCUUGCGGUCCUUGGUUUGUUCGACGACAAUUUCAGGUCAUGGCGCUUGGCUGAAAGGCCAGUGGCGCGAAGCUACCGUGUGUCGGAUUAUGACUGAACACCUCUAAGUCAGAAUCCAUGCUAGAAGUGGUGCUUGUCACUCCUCGACUGUAUCUUGACCCAUAGUAGGGGUGUCGCUUCGGCACCCCUAGGGGCCCAUGUCACUUGCGAACCUCUACUGGGAAGUGUCUCGGUCGGGGCAACUUUGAAGUUCAAUUUCAAACGGUCGUUGAGAAGAAUCCUUUGCAGAUGACUUAAAUAUGGAACGGGGUAUUGUAAGUGGCAGAGUGGCCUUGCUUCCAUGAUCCAUUGAGAUUUAUCCCUUUGUCACCUUGAUUC